UGCUUUGUGUCAGAAGGUUCUGAUGGAUCCGGUCUCUACCAGCUGUGGACACUGGUUCUGCAGAAAAUGCAUCAGAUCCUACUGGGACCAGUCUGCUCCAUCUGGACCCUCCUCCUGCCCCCAGUGUGGGAAACGACCCAGAACAGGAGCUGGACUGCUGACAGCCAAUCAGAGCAGCUGUGCUCCAGAUGUUGUUCUGCAGGAGGUUCUAGAGGAACAUAAGAUCAGUCUGA